GAUGAACGCUGGCGGCGUGCCUAAUACAUGCAAGUAGAACGCUGAAGGAAGGAGCUUGCUCUUUCCGGAUGAGUUGCGAACGGGUGAGUAACGCGUAGGUAACCUGCCUGGUAGCGGGGGAUAACUAUUGGAAACGAUAGCUAAUACCGCAUAACAGUAGAUGUUGCAUGAUAUCUACUUAAAAGGUGCAAUUGCACCACUACCAGAUGGACCUGCGUUGUAUUAGCUAGUUGGUGAGGUAACGGCUCACCAAGGCGACGAUACAUAGCCGACCUGAGAGGGUGAUCGGCCAAACUGGGACUGAGACACGGCCCAGACUCCUACGGGAGGCAGCAGUAGGGAAUCUUCGGCAAUGGACGGAAGUCUGACCGAGCAACGCCGCGUGAGUGAAGAAGGUUUUCGGAUCGUAAAGCUCUGUUGUAAGAGAAGAACGAGUGUGAGAGUGGAAAGUUCACACUGUGACGGUAUCUUACCAGAAAGGGACGGCUGACUACGUG
rnacentral:rRNA from 1 species